rnacentral:misc_RNA from 1 species
UCCUCCUUACAGAGGCAGUUUCGUCCGAGUCCCCGACAUUACUCGCUGGUAACAGACAAUGAGGGUUGCGCUCGUUGCGGGACUUAACCCAACAUUUCACAACACGAGCUGACGACAGCCAUGCACCACCUGUGCUCCACCCUCGAAGGCGACCACUUUUCGGCGGCUUGCAGGAACAUGUCAAGCCCUGGUAAGGUUCUUCGCGUUGCAUCGAAUUAAGCCACAUGCUCCACCGCUUGUGCGGGCCCCCGCCAAUUCCUUUGAGUUUUAGCCUUGCGGCCGUACUCCCCAGGCGGAGUGCUUAAUGCGUUAGCUACGGCGCGGAAAACGUGGAAUGUCCCCCACACCUAGUGCCCAACGUUUACGGCAUGGACUAC